rnacentral:rRNA from 1 species
AUUGAACGCUGGCGGCAUGCUUUACACAUGCAAGUCGAACGGCAGCGCGGGCUUCGGCCUGGCGGCGAGUGGCGAACGGGCGAGUAAUACAUCGGAACGUGCCCAGUAGUGGGGGAUAGCUCGGCGAAAGCCGGAUUAAUACCGCAUACGACCUGAGGGUGAAAGCGGGGGAUCUUCGGACCUCGCGCUAUUGGAGCGGCCGAUGGCAGAUUAGCUAGUUGGUGGGGUAAAGGCCUACCAAGGCGACGAUCUGUAGCUGGUCUGAGAGGACGACCAGCCACACUGGGACUGAGACACGGCCCAGACUCCUACGGGAGGCAGCAGUGGGGAAUGUUGGACAAUGGGCGAAAGCCUGAUCCAGCAAUGCCGCGUGUGUGAUGAAGGCCUUCGGGUUGUAAAGCACUUUUGGCGGGAACGAAAAGGACUGUGCCAAUACCACGGUUCGAUGACGGUACCCGCAGAAUAAGCACCGGCUAACUACGUG